ACAAUCUGUAAUUACACGUUUCCGCCCUUUGCAAUAAGGAAAUACAUAGUUUACUUUCAUUUUUGACUCUGAGGCUCUUUCCAACGCUGUAAAAAAGGACAGAGGCUGUUCCCUAUGGCAGAAGGCAACCACAGAAAAAAGCCACUUAAGGUGUUGGAAUCCCUGGGCAAAGAUUUCCUCACUGGUGUUUUGGAUAACUUGGUGGAACAAAAUGUACUGAACUGGAAGGAAGAGGAAAAAAAGAAAUAUUACGAUGCUAAAACUGAAGACAAAGUUCGGGUCAUGGCAGACUCUAUGCAAGAGAAGCAACGUAUGGCAGGACAAAUGCUUCUUCAAACCUUUUUUAACAUAGACCAAAUAUCCCCCAAUAAAAAAGAUCUAUCCAAUAAAGGAGAGAAACAACCGCACACGCCUGGCUCUCAUCAUAUGCAAUACAGAGUUUGACCAUCUGCCUCCGAGGAAUGGAGCUGACUUUGACAUCACAGGGAUGAAGGAGCUACUUGAGGGUCUGGACUAUAGUGUAGAUGUAGAAGAGAAUCUGACAGCCAGGGAUAUGGAGUCAGCGCUGAGGGCAUUUGCUACCAGACCAGAGCACAAGUCCUCUGACAGCACAUUCUUGGUACUCAUGUCUCAUGGCAUCCUGGAGGGAAUCUGCGGAACUGUGCAU
rnacentral:lncRNA from 1 species